rnacentral:tRNA from 1 species
GCCCCUGUGGCGGAAUUGGUAGACGCGGUAGACUCAAAAUCUUCUUCUUUCGGGAGUGGGAGUUCGACUCUCCCCGGGGGCACCA